UACGUAGGGACCAAGCGUUGUCCGGAUUUAUUGGGCGUAAAGAGCUCGUAGGCGGCCCUCCACGUCGGAUGUGAAAGCUCAGGGCUCAACCCUGAGAUGCCAUUCGAUACGGGAAGGCUAGAGGUAGGUAGGGGAAAGUGGAAUUCCUGGUGUAGCGGUGAAAUGCGCAGAUAUCAGGAGGAACACCGGUGGCGAAGGCGGUUCUCUGGGCCUUACCUGACGCUGAGGAGCGAAAGCGUGGGGAGCGAACAGG
rnacentral:rRNA from 1 species